rnacentral:snoRNA from 1 species
GCAGAUGAUGAACAAUGGGUCUACUGAGAAACAUUCUAUGAUGACCCGUUGGAGCACUGAUG